GUCCACGCCGUAACGGUGGAUGCUGGAUGUGGGCCCGUUCCACGGGUUCCGUGUCGGAGCUAACGCGUUAAGCAUCCCGCCUGGGAGUACGGCCGCAAGGCUAAACUCAAAGAAUUGACGGGCCCGCACAAGCGGCGGAGCAUGCGGAUUAAUUCGAUGCAACGCGAAGAACCUUACCUGGGCUUGACAUGUUCCCGACGGUCGUAGAGAUACGGCUUCCCUUCGGGGCGGUUCACAGGUGGUGCAUGGUCGUCGU
rnacentral:rRNA from 1 species